rnacentral:ncRNA from 1 species
UAUCUUGCAGCGCUUUAAUUAGCCAAUACAUAAUAAUCAUUGAAAUAAUAUUUGCAUG